rnacentral:rRNA from 1 species
CGGGUGGACCGCAAUUCGCUCGUCCCGGGGCAUUCAGCCCGUUUCCCGGCCGGACCUCCCUGGAUUCUAGUGGCGCGCGCUCUUCGGAGUGUGUGCCCGCUGGGGAGGGUAGAAAGCCGGUGGCGAGACGGGUGCACUUGCUCCGGUCGUCGAGAGCCACGACCGGUUCCUUCGCAGGCAGUGUGGACUCCCUUGGUCGGGUUAACGGCGGGUCGAACGUUGUUCCAUUUUUUGGGCUUCGAUCGCCCGCUCCGACCGGGAGGGAAACUGGCCUGGGGACCGAGGACUGCAUCUGGCUGGCGCCUCCGUUACUCUCGAGCCGUGCGCCCUUGUCGGCCCCCUUCGGGUGUGGUCAGGCAAGACGGGCGCGAGGACGCAUCGGGAGCGAGCGGACGGCGUGCGACUGCUACGGUGCUUGUCGGUGGCGGAUCAGGUCGUAAUCCACCCG